CACUAUCCCAUCCCGUUAUCCCAUCCCAUGGAUCCCAUCCCAUUAUCCCAUCCCAUUAUCCCAUCCCAUGGAUCCCGUCCCGUUAUCCUAUCCCACUAUCCCAUCCUGUUAUCCCGUCCCGUUAUCCCAUCCCGUUAUCCCAUCCCGUUAUCCCAUCCCGUUAUCCCGUCCCGUUAUCCCAUCCCGUUAUCCCAUCCCAUGGAUCCCAUCCCAUUAUCCCAUCCCAUUAUCCCAUCCCAUUACCCCAUCCCAUGGAUCCCGUCCCGUUAUCCUAUCCCACUAUCCCAUCCUGUUAUCCCAUCCCGUUAUCCCAUCCCAUGGAUCCCAUCCCAUUAUCCCAUCCCAUUAUCCCAUCCUGUUAUCCCGUCCCGCUCUCCCGGCCGUGCCGGGUCCCUGCUCACCGCCCGUGGCGAUGGUGACCUGCCGCAGGAGGUGGCCGUAGAACGGGAAAUCGAAGGACAGGACGAUCCUCUGGGAGAGAGGGGAGGUGAGAACCGAGCCCGGCCCUCAGGAAAACAGCGCUGGGAAUGUGGGGAGGGCUGGGAGAGGGGUGGGAGAGGGGAUGGGAAAAGGGGAUGGAAAGGGGAUGGGAAAAGGAUGGCAGAGGAAUCCUACAUCUUCUUUCCUCCCCAGAAUGCCUGGUGGGCACACAGACACUUCCCAAACCCCGACACUCCCCGAGCACGUGGUCAGCGCCCCGAGGCUCCCCAAGGCUCCCUGAGGCUCCCCAAGGCUCCCCAGGGCUCCCCAAGGCUCCCCAAGGCUCCCCAAGGCUCCCAGGGCUCCCCAAGGCUCCCUGAAGCUCCCCAAGACUCCCCAAGGCUCCCCAAGGCUCCCAGGGCUCCCCAAGUCUCACCGAGGCCUGCCGGUGCGUGUUGGAGAGGAUCCCGUGGAUCCGAGCUCGGCUCCCGUUGGCCGCUGCCAUGUCCACCCAGAGCCGCCCGCGCCGCGCGUCCCCGGGGCCGUAGAUCCGCGACACGUAAUAGCUGUGGUUGUCCUCCUGCAGCCACGGGGACACGGGACAUGGGGAUGGGACAUGGGAAUGGGACAUGGGGAUGGGACAUGGGACAUGGGGAUGGGACACGGGACAUGGGGAUGGGACAUGGGACAUGGGACAUGGGGAUGGGACACGGGACAUGGGGAUGGGACAUGGGACAUGGGACAUGGGACAUGGGGAUGGGACACAGGGAUGGGACACAGGGAUGGGACACAGGGAUGGGACAAGGGACAUGGGACAUGGGGAUGGGACAUGGGGAUGGGACACAGGGAUGUGACAAGGGACACAGGACAUGGGAAUGGGACAUGGGACACAGAGAUGGGACACAGGACACGGGACACGGGGAUAGGACACAGGGAUGGGAUAUGGGACAUGGGACACAAGACAUGGGACACAGGGCACAGGGAUGGGACACAGGACAUGGGACACGGGACACAGGACAUGGGGAUGGGACACAGGACAUGGGACAGAGGGAUGGGACACAGGGAUGGGACAUGGGACACAGGGAUGGGAUAAGGGACAUGGGACACAGGACACAGGGAUGGGACACAGGACAUGGGACACGGGACACAGAACAUGGGGAUGGGACACAGGACAUGGGACACGGGACACAGGACACGGGGACGGGACACAGGACACGGGGAUGGGACACAGGACAUGGGACACAGGACAAGGGACACGGGACAGGGGGAUGGGAUUCCCUGAGCCUCAGAGAGCUCCAGGCUCCCAGGGGAUGCUCAGAUUCCCCAGGGAACCUUUGCUCUCCCGAGGGUUGGUGUGAAAAUAAGAUUUUAAUUCUCAAAACAGCGACAAGGAUGUUCUGAGAGCGGUUUUUCUCUUGUCCCACACUAAUACUAAUACUAAUACUAAUACUAAUACUAAUACUAAUACUAAUACUAUUAUAUAUAAUUAUAAUUUAAAAUAUAAAAUUUAAAAUAAAAUAAUUAAUAUAAUAUAUAAUUAUAUAUAU
rnacentral:lncRNA from 1 species